rnacentral:rRNA from 1 species
GAGAAAACUUAAUCUCAAUCGCAAUGCAGAACAUGUUAUAGGAAUUGCUAGAGAGCAAAUACGAUGAACAUGUCCCAUUUUCACAGAGUAUAUCUGAAAUCAUCAUUUACAUAUAUUGUAAAUGUGAUAUGGAGAUAUCUGACGGUCUCCAAUGCACAGCCUGUGGCCUGAUUUGAUGGUCAAUGCAAAUACAUAGCCACUUGUGCGGGGUUAGUGCAUAACCAGAGGGCUACAAUGAAAAAACCUUCAAAGAGAUAAGGUUCCCAUCGUUGUCCUGUGUGUGGCCUGUAAUUAGUACACGAAUCAAUCGAUUCGGUUAGCUUUACACAGGAGCCAUCGCCGCCGCUUCCGGGAGAUCCAGCCAUUUGCCUCGCGCCGGAGUUCGUCGGCGUACGCUGAACGACGCCACGGGCACCGCGCCGCGUGCCGUGGAGGUCCGCGUCAACCUAGGCCGAGGGCCAUGGCUACGCGAGGAGGACCGGGCCGAGGCCGUACUCGACGUCCCGCUCCGCGUAGCCGCGCACCAGCCGGCCGGAGGAAGGAGCGCAGGUCGAGGGUCGCCACCGCCGUAGUCUGGCGGUGGAAACGACACCGUUCGCGCGCUGGGCCUCGCCGCGCCGGAGGAGGCCUGUGCCAGGUUCGGGCCUGGCCGACCGUCGGGGGCGAGCUGCACAAUCAGCUGAAGGGAGAGCCCGCUCCAUCUUCGCUACGGGCAGGACCGUGGCUGCAGGAACUCCACGCGGAUGCCGGGAGCCGCGUCGGGCGCUGGCUGCCUCGCCUCCAUCGCCCGUCUUCGUCGUCGCCAGGACGUAGAAGAUGCGGGUGCGCCGCUGUCGAGGGUCCGCUGUGGGCUCCGCGCGCCGGGAGGUCGAGGCCGGGUUGUUCCCCGCUAUAGGCGCCGAGUCUCCGGUCGGGAGGCGCUUGCCACGCCGCCGUGCCUUGCGUAGCAGGCCGGGUCGCAGAUGCGCCGCGGUCGGCCGUGCCGGAGAGGGCCGCUUAUGCGGCCACUGUGGACGGCGUCUGGGAGAAGGGGAAGGAGAGGGUGAGACCAAACCAUGCCCUGGAGGACGCUGCGGUCGAGCGCCGGCACCUGGGCUCCAUCGCCUCGUCACCGGAAGAUGUCUCGCCGCGAGCGCCCAAUGGAACGAUUCCGGUUCCUGCUUCCGCUUCCGGUUGCAUCGCCUGUAAGCCAUCGGCGACGAAAGUAACAUCCGUAACUGCCGGGAUGGCCUAAUCUCUCGUGGCCUUCUGCUCUCGCCAGAGCGUGCUGAUAACGUGUUUUGAAUGAAUCAUGUCCCUUCUUUAUUACUCCCUCCGUUCCUAAAUAUUUGUCUUUCUAGACAUUUCAAAUGAUUACUACAUACGCCGUAGAUGUAUUUUAGAGUGUAGAUUCACUUAUUUUGCUCCGUAUUAGUCACUUGUUGAAAUGCCUAGAAAGAUAAGUAUUUAGGAAUGAAGGGAAUAGAUGACAUCUAUUUAUACAAGAAAAAGGACACCACUGGAAAAUUAGAUUACAUCUAUUUAUACAAGGGAAAGGACAUCACUGGAAAAGGUGUCUGUUAAAGGAGGUGCCUGUUCAGCGGGAACCGAUGCGGCAGUUUUACAACGGCCUGCGGUUAAUACAAGCAGGGAUUAAUCCCAUAAUUAACACAUGAUUAAUUAAUUCUAACACAUUCAAACACGUCCCGCAUUGGAUGGCAAUAAACAUUCGGAUGUAUUGGUCCAGACAUUUCCGGGCAAUGUUGGAGAUGUCCUAAACACUUAUAUUUAACUAGAUAACACCC